rnacentral:RNase_P_RNA from 1 species
GUCGCUCACUGCAUCCGGCAGUGUGAGGAAAGUCCGGGCAACGCAGAGCGCCAUAUUUCUUAACGGGAAGCUAUCGGUAACGGUAGAGUAGUGUGACAGAAAACAACCGCCUGGCAGUAUCAAAGCUCCGGGUAAGGGUGAAAAGGCGAGGUAAGAGCUCACCGGACAGCAUAGCGAUAUGUUGUGCCGCACACCUUAUGGGUUGCAAGGCCAAGUACACCGGCAUUCAAGGGUUGCUCGCCCAUUGCCGGGGGGUAGGCUGCUAAAGCUGACCGGCAACGGCCAGCUCAGAUAAAUGACGAAACUCAAGCUGUAGGUCGUAAAACGGCUUUCAGUAUUGACGACAUAACCCGGCUUAUCGUCCGGCUGU